GACACAGUGAGAGAGGGAACACAAGCAGGGGGAAUGGAAGAGGGAGAAGCAGGCCUCCCGCUGAGCAGGGAACCUGAUGCGGGGCUCCAUCCCAGGACCCUGGGAUCAUGACCUGAGCCGAAGGCAGACACCCAACGAAUGAGCCACCCAGGCGCCCCUGCAGCAGUUGCUUUUUGGUUGUCUCAUUUCCUACCCCUAACCUGAACUCAUGUCCAGGACCUGGUCUUAAAAUGACAACAAAGAACACUUCUGCUACAGAGAUAUGGGAUCCUGUGGAUUCAGGUUCCUCAGAGAUCACUGACGGGAACCGGGAAUGGGAUAUCUCAAGAAAGAACAUUGAGGACAUUAUGGAGGCACUCCAAGUUUCUGAUCAGGUGAGGACAUCUCAGACAUUUUACUGGCUCCAAUCAGCAUAGGACCAUCUCCAUCAAGGUAGCUGGUUGGGUACAUACCUGUUCUGCCAGGAGAGUAAGAAAAAUUUCCAAUCAGCAGAGCACCACUUGGUCCAGUUCAUUCAUAGCUCCAGGUCUGAUUUCCAUGUCCCUAGUCUGACCUACAUACCUUCUCCAUCCCCUCAACCCCUGAUCCAGCUUUAAUCCUCUUCCUGGAUUCACUCCUCUUCCGUUCUCUACCAGGGGUUCUUAUUCUCUUUAUUAUCUUUACUCUUCAACCUUCCUUUCUUCCUGAGUCCCCUCUCUCCUAUAGUUGUCAACAGAUAAUGUCUUACAAACUCUCAAGUUGCUGGAAGUUAAAAUCCUAAAUAACAAGAUGGCAACUCCACUAUGCCAGAAGGUGACAGAUAUCAUCGUUGACUACCUGAGGACAAUGUGAGGAGCCUGUGCCUCUGGGCUGGGGGCUCUGGGGAAAGAAAGCAACCCAGGUCUGAGCCCAGGAGUUCUUUCUGUUGGAUGAUGAUACUUGGAAACUAAUUGGGAUCUGGGAUAUGAGUAUCUCAUUUCUAAACAGUUUGCUGGAAUCCAUAUCUAGUACUCUGAGCAUAUCUCAAGAACUGUGACCUAGACAGAAUUGGAAGCUACAGUAGUGAAGUGAAGUGGUGAGGCAGGAGAAGUGAGAUGGAAAGAGGGGGGAAGGACCUGGGCUAUUGGGCUCAAAAUCUGACCUGGUUUUCAGAUUGUGUCCUAGUAUACUAUAGGCAGUCACCUUUGUUACUGCAAUUCAUCUCACUCUAUUUAGUAAGCUAUUUAAAUCCACCUACCUGUGUGCUAGCCCAUCUUUAGACUGAAUGUUCAUGAUGUCUACCUGUCCAUCUAUCCACAUACCUUACACUUACUUUCCUGACACUGGGUUAAUCUGGUUUCUUAUUUUCUUGGUUCACUACCUACCUAUGAAUUAUCUUUCUUCUGGUUUACCUGCCUUCCUUGACAUGCCUGUCUUCUUCUUUUUUUUUUUUUUAUUCUUAUGUUAAUUCCCAUACAUUACAUCAUUAGUUUUAGAUGAAGUGUUCCAUGAUUCAUUGUUUGUGCAUAACACCCAGUGCUCCAUGCAGAAUGUGCCCUCCCCAAUACCCACCACCAGGCUAACCCAUCCUCCCACCCCCCUCCCCUCUAUAACUCUCAGUCUGUUUUUCAGAGUCCAUCAUCUCUCAUGGUUCGUCUACCCCUCCGAUUUCCCCCGCUUCAUUCUUCCCCUCCUGCUACCUUCUUUUUUUUUUUUUUUAACAUAUAUUGCAUUAUUUGUUUCAGAGGUACAGAUCUGAGAUUCAACAGUCUUGCGCAAUUCACAGUGCUCACCAGAGCACAUACCCUCCCCAGUGUCCACCACCCAGUCACCCCAUCCCUCCCACCCCACCCCCCACUCCAGCAACCCUCAGUUUGUUUCCUGCAAUUAAGAAUUCCUCAUAUCAGUGAGAUCAUAUGAUACAUGUCUUUCUCUGUUUGACUUAU